GCACAGCCUCUUAUUUUGAGGGCACGGUGUUACGCCUUAUGUACGACUGCCAGGUUUCCCAGGCUUGUGACCAAAUUUUUUUGGAUUGACUUGAUCGUCUGGUUGCCUGUUCAUAGAGCUUAGUUGUUUCUAUCGUUUGUACACAUUCUGUUAUUGUGGGCGGGAUAGCGGAUUUCCAGUGUCUACGAAUGACAGUUAGUGUAGC
rnacentral:lncRNA from 1 species